AACGAACGCUGGCGGCAUGCCUAACACAUGCAAGUCGAACGCCCUGGUUCGCCAGGGAGUGGCGCACGGGUGAGUAACGCGUGGGAACCUGCCCGGCAGUACGGGACAACCGCGGGAAACUGCGGCUAAUACCGUAUACGGCCUGAGGGCGAAAGAAUUUCGCUGUCGGAGGGGCCCGCGUCGGAUUAGGUAGUUGGUGGGGUAACGGCCUACCAAGCCUGCGAUCCGUAGCUGGUCUGAGAGGAUGAUCAGCCACACUGGGACUGAGACACGGCCCAGACUCCUACGGGAGGCAGCAGUGGGGAAUAUUGGACAAUGGGCGCAAGCCUGAUCCAGCAAUGCCGCGUGAGUGAUGAAGGCCUUAGGGUUGUAAAGCUCUUUCGCCCGCGACGAUGAUGACGGUAGCGGGAGAAGAAGCCCCGGCUAACUCCGUGCCAGCAGCCGCGGUAAUACGGAGGGGGCUAGCGUUGUUCGGAAUUACUGGGCGUAAAGGGCGCGCA
rnacentral:rRNA from 1 species